rnacentral:sRNA from 8 species
AUUACUGUACUCAUCCAGGCUUUCUCUGGAUCUCAGACAGUUUUCCACGCGGUGAAUUGGUCUGAUUUUUCUC